rnacentral:lncRNA from 1 species
CGUCUCUCCAAACUGGAAAAGGCGACUGUGCAACCACCACCACAUGUUCAGGUCUCGAUCCCUCGGGCUGUCUCUCUUUUUUUUUAACUCUCACGCCAGGCAGAGGGGUGUGUGUUUCCCUUGGCACAGCAGCACAAAUCAAUAAACACUGCAGCUGCGGUGCAAGUAGCAGCCCCGCGCGUCCGUCGGUCCGUCCGCCCCCUCCCCCACCCUCCUUCCACCCGAGACCCAGAGCGCCAUCCAAGCCCCAUUAUCCGGCUUCAGCGCUCCGUGCGUCCGGCCCAGGUAACAACUUCCCCAAAAACCGAAAGAGAAAAGCGCGAGGCGCACGCACACCGGCCCAUCCCGGCGCAGAGACCUCGUCUGCCCCGGGAGGGGGAUCUGUCUGUGGUGCUUCCCGGUCUCUAAGCCCAGACAGAGUUUUGCUCUUAUUGCCCAGGCUGGAGUGCAAUGGCACGAUCUCAGCUCACUGCAACGUCUGCCUCCCAGGUUCAAGCGAUUCUCCUGCCUCAGCCUCCCGAGUAGCUGGGAUUACAGGGCCUACUGCAGUGCAUGAAGGUGGUAUGGACUCAGAACUCUGAAGUCUGAGGAGACAAAUACAUGCCCACCAUAACAACAUCACACAAUACCUAGAGUCAAAACAGUUAUCCCUAUUCCUACCCCCAACUGAGUUAUUCAAUAAAGCCUGCCUUGUUGAAUCUGUUUUCCCAUGUAUAGUUUAUAUAGUUACAUAACAAUUAGUUUUUUCCAUAUACUUAGGAUAACUACAUGUAAUUUAGUAUUCUGCUGUUUUCACUUACAUAUCACAUACAUUUUCCUGAUACAGGUACAUAGUCUUUAUAUUUGUCAUUUUUCACUUGACUGCUAUGUUUCUCAAAUUGAUAUACUGUCAUUUCCUAAGCCAGUUAUAUAUUGUUGAACAUUUAAAUUACUCCCUUUUUUGGUUUGUAAAUAAACAUUGUUAUGAAAUA